rnacentral:rRNA from 1 species
CCUACGGGAGGCAGCAGUGGGGGAUAUUGCACAAUGGGGGGAACCCUGAUGCAGCGACGCCGCGUGGGUGAAGAAGCGCCUCGGCGCGUAAAGCCCUGUCUGCAGGGAAGAAAAUGACGGUACCUGAAGCAGAAGCCCCGGCUAACUACGUGCCAGCAGCCGCGGUAAUACGUAGGGGGCAAGCGUUAUCCGGAUUUACUGGGUGUAAAGGGGGCGCAGACGGCGAUGCAAGCCAGGAGUGAAAGCCCGGGGCCCAACCCCGGGACUGCUCUUGGAACUGCGUGGCUGGAGUGCAGGAGGGGCAGGCGGAAUUCCUGGUGUAGCGGUGAAAUGCGUAGAUAUCAGGAGGAACACCGGUGGCGAAGGCGGCCUGCUGGACUGCAACUGACGUUGAGGCCCGAAAGCGUGGGGAGCAAACAGGAUUAGAUACCCCAGUAGUC